rnacentral:rRNA from 1 species
UACAGAGGCCCCAAGCAUUAUCCGGAAUCACUGGGCGUAAAGGGUGUGUAGGCGGUCGUGUUAGUCGAUUGUGAAAGAUCUCGGGCUUAACCCGGGGGACGCAAUCGAAACGGCACGACUUUGAGGAUGUAAGAGGUACAGGGAACUCAUGGUGUAGGGGUGAAAUCCGUUGAUAUCAUGGGGAACACCAAAUGCGAAGGCACUGUACUGGUACACUCCUGACGCUGAGACACGAAAGCGUGGGAAUCGAACGGG